rnacentral:lncRNA from 10 species
CGGGGAGGAAGUCGGGAGCAGGGCACAGAGCUAACACCAAAGGACUGGAGCCUGGGAUAGGAAAGAAGAGAAAGAGGUGACCGCAUCCCCUGCUCCUAGGAGACCUAGGGAAGGGAUGAGGGAGGGGCAGAAGGAGGUCAGAGAUGGUGCCAGGAAUGCAGGCCAUGCACAUCAAAGGGCCUGCUGAGAAGCAUCAGCCUGUGGGGUUCAUGCCAAGAAGUCACGUUCCCACCUUCCUUAUGACCCCAAAACUCGCCACCCAGGCUCCCACUUCGGGGUUU